UCGAUGAAGAACGCAGCGAAAUGGUAUACGUAAUGUGAAUUGCAGAAUUCAGUGAAUCAUCGAAUCUUUGAACGCACCUUGCGCCCCUUGGCAUUCCGAGGGGCACACCCGUUUGAGUGUCGUG
rnacentral:rRNA from 1 species